CGGACGGGUGAGGAAUACAUCGGAAUCUACUCUGUCGUGGGGGAUAACGUAGGGAAACUUACGCUAAUACCGCAUACGUCCUACGGGAGAAAGCAGGGACCUUCGGGCCUUGCGCUAUCAGAUGAGCCUAGGUCGGAUUAGCUAGUUGGUGAGGUAAUGGCUCACCAAGGCGACGAUCCGUAACUGGUCUGAGAGGAUGAUCAGUCACACUGGAACUGAGACACGGUCCAGACUCCUACGGGAGGCAGCAGGC
rnacentral:rRNA from 1 species